rnacentral:rRNA from 1 species
CCUACGGGAGGCAGCAGUAAGGAAUAUUGGACAAUGGGCGCAAGCCUGAUCCAGCCAUGCCGCGUGAGUGAUGAAGGCCUUAGGGUUGUAAAGCUCUUUUAUCCGGGACGAUAAUGACGGUACCGGAGGAAUAAGCCCCGGCUAACUUCGUGCCAGCAGCCGCGGUAAU